rnacentral:lncRNA from 1 species
GAGGAGAAGAUUUGUCUGCUGCUGCUGCUGCAGCAUCAUGCGGGAUGUGUCUUCGUGCAUCCUCCGUGACUCCUCGAACAAUCUCAUGCUCUCGGCAUGAUCACGAUCUUGUCGAGCAUUGAUUUCUGCAAUCUGCUGCUCGUGCCUCCGCUGGCUGUCUGCCAGAAUCGCCGAAAUGGACUCCAUGACGGUAGCCACAGAGUCCAUGUCCUUCCUCUUCCUCCUCCG